GAUGAACGCUGGCGGCGUGCCUAAUACAUGCAAGUCGAGCGAACAGACGAGGAGCUUGCUCCUUCGACGUUAGCGGCGGACGGGUGAGUAACACGUAGGUAACCUACCUAUAAGACUGGGAUAACUUCGGGAAACCGGAGCUAAUACCGGAUAAUAUUUCGAACCGCAUGGUUCGAUAGUGAAAGAUGGCUUUGCUAUCACUUAUAGAUGGACCUGCGCCGUAUUAGCUAGUUGGUAAGGUAACGGCUUACCAAGGCAACGAUACGUAGCCGACCUGAGAGGGUGAUCGGCCACACUGGAACUGAGACACGGUCCAGACUCCUACGGGAGGCAGCAGGAGGGAAUCUUCCGCAAUGGGCGAAAGCCUGACGGAGCAACGCCGCGUGAGUGAUGAAGGUCUUCGGAUCGUAAAACUCUGUUAUUAGGGAAGAACAAACGUGUAAGUAACUGUGCACGUCUUGACGGUACCUAAUCAGAAAGCCACGGCUAACUACGU
rnacentral:rRNA from 1 species